rnacentral:rRNA from 1 species
UAGGGAAUCUUCCACAAUGGACGCAAGUCUGAUGGAGCAACGCCGCGUGAGUGAAGAAGGCUUUCGGGUCGUAAAACUCUGUUAUUGAAGAAGAACGUGUGUGACAGUAACUGGUCAUGCAGUGACGGUAUUCAAUCAGAAAGUCACGGCUAACUACGUGCCAGCAGCCGCGGUAAUACGUAGGUGGCAAGCGNUCGUUCGAUUAUGGGCGUAAAGCGAGUGCAGGCGGUCUUUUAAGUCUGAUGUGAAAGCCUUCGGCUUAACCGAAGAAGGGCAUCG